UCCCGAAUAGCUCAGCUGGUUAGAGCAUCUGACUGUUAAUCAGAGGGUCGCUGGUUCGAGCCCAGCUUCGGGAGCCA
rnacentral:tRNA from 2 species